AGAGGGGUCAAAACAGAGGCAGCCUUCACUCCGAUCGUUUCUGCCCAACAUCCUGGUCACUACAGGAGAUGCAUUUUGACAAUGCCAGCACUUUUUGGAAUGCGCCCCCUGAGCCUGGGGCUGAUCAUCUUGUCUUCCCGCUCAGGACUCUGGGAGGUGGUCAGCUCUUCUUUGCUGGCAGUGUCUCUUGCCUUAUUGUGGGCAGCUGUGGAAGAGGCACCCAGACAAAAAAACCCCGAGAGAUGUUGGGGCAGGGGCUGCACGGGGCAGAAGAAGGUGGUGGGAUCCACCUGCAGCUCUGGCUAGCUUGAAAUUGGUUCCUCUCACCAUUUGUUUACCAGUCUCUGCACAGAGAGAACAAGAGAAAUGGAGACUGAAAUGAAGCCAAGCCGCUCCCUGAUGGCCUGGUGUUGCCACCUAAAUGAGGACUUGAAGUUCCUAGAGGCUGGGCAGCAGACCAAAGCCCUCACUUACAGCACCCCCAAGGACAGUGUGCCUCCAUGUCCAUGGGCUCCACCUUUGAGGAUUCAAUCAACUGCAGAUGGAAAAUAUUUGGAAAAAAAAUGAGUUGCAUCUACAA